rnacentral:lncRNA from 1 species
UUAUACCCCCACCUCCCCUGCCUGUGGGGUUGCUUCCCACAGCAGGUACGUGUGAUCUUCUCGGUGGUGAGUACAGUGCUCAGUCCAGGCUUGCCCUCUGUUUCCCUUGUCACUCCUUUUUACUCAUUUUUUUAGGCAAGUCCUUUUCGACACUCCUUAACUGUGGUUUCCCACCGUUCCUCAGGUAUCUCUCACUCAACAGGCACUAAUAACUCCCAUCCACAAAACAAAGUUAUUACUUCAGUUUUUGAGUUCUUUCUGUAUAGGGGAUUGAUUCAGUACUCAAUACUUCUUGCAACGAGAACAUAGAUUUUGUGAACUACAAUGCCAAUUAUUCUCAUAAUUUAAACAUUCACUUUAUAGCCCAGCUGGCAUGUCCAAUAUGAGGAUGAAUCACAUAAAGUAUACAGUAUAGUACUGAUGGCAAUUUCCCUUCUUCCCUGUACAAGCCACAGGCUGAGGCCAGGCUAUAAGAACUCUUUGACUGAAACACUCCCGAUCCUCCUGUUUGAAGUGGCAGUGUUCCUCUGCCAAGGAGGUGUCGGAGGCGUCUCAGGGUUUAUUCAGGCAGGGCUUAGAACCAGUGAUGCAAGCUUUGCCUUAUUUCUCAGUGAGGUGUUAUUCUUUGUACCUGCCUUGGAUCAUUUGGGUCUUCCCAAACCAUUACCACCCAGUCCUGGUUGGAAGUCAAUUUGGUAUCACCCGGUUUAGAUGUGAUAGUCCAUUCCUCAAGUUUCUUCACAAGUCCUUUGGUUUUGCUGGCAUGAAUUCACCCUCUUUCCGUGGUUUGGAUUGCUGCUUUAAUGGUACCUGGAAAGGAUUUCUUAAUAGCACAGUGUUAAAAGAAAAACAAUACUGCAUUAACUUUUACCAUUAGUUUUCUUUAAAACUUUCUGAGUUUAACUAAACUCUUUUUCUACAGCCACUUCUUCUUCUUGUAUCCAGCUGUGUUAAUAGCUGCAGAGACCAAUUCUUCUUCCUGUGAGCUAUAAUUAGUUAAAUAAAAAAGACCAGGCCAAUUUUAACAUGAGAUGUAUCACAUCUCUUGCCUUUUACUUUUUGGGUAACAUUUAACUGUUUUAGUCUUACA